rnacentral:lncRNA from 1 species
CUUUUAUAUGAGUGAACAAGAGACUGGAUUACAAGAGAGUAGUUUAUAGCAAUUUAGACCAGACCUUUAACCAACCUACAAUUAAUUAUAAGACAUUUGACUAAUGUGAUAUUAAUUAUGUGCGACCUCAAAGCUGAACUGACUCUAGCUGUCUGCCACCAAUAAUUGGUCCCAACUUUGUUCUUGAUUUUCCACAUGUUUAUACCUAAAUCAUUAUGUUGCCAGCUCAACUAUACCCCCACAUAAAUAUAAACAUUGGGUGGUGCAAAAUCAUAGGUUAGGUCCCCUUGAUAAAAAUCAAUUUCGUGCAUAAAGUAGAAAAGGCUUUCAUACUUUUAAAUUAAAAGGAAGUUCUUAAUUUCGAGAUGGUACCCGUACCAUCUACUUGUUUCUAG